GAUGAACGCUAGCUACAGGCCUAACACAUGCAAGUCGAGGGACCGGCGCACGUGUGAGUAAUACGUAUCCAUCCUGCCUUUUACUCGGGGACAGCUUUUCGCAAGAAAGAUUAAUACCCGAUAUAAAGGACGGGGAUGCGUUCGAUUAGGUUGUUGGUGAGGUAACGGCCCACCAAGCCUUCGAUGGAUGGGGGUUCUGAGAGGAAGGACCCCGAGAUUGGAGCUAAGGCACGGUCCAAACUCGUACGAGACGCAGGAGUAAGGAAUAUAGGUCGAUAGGGGGUAGCCUGAACCAGCCAAGUAGCGUGAAGGAUGAAGGCUUAUGGAACGUAGACUUCUUUUGAAUAAGAAUAGGUAUUAUAAGAAGAAGGAUCGGCUAACUCCGUGCCAGCAGCCGCGGUAAUAC
rnacentral:rRNA from 1 species